UACGUAGGGUGCAAGCGUUGUCCGGAAUUAUUGGGCGUAAAGAGCUCGUAGGUGGCCUGUCGCGUCGGCUGUGAAAACUCGGGGCUCAACUCCGAGCUUGCAGUCGAUACGGGCAGGCUAGAGUUCGGCAGGGGAGAGUGGAAUUCCUGGUGUAGCGGUGAAAUGCGCAGAUAUCAGGAAGAACACCCGUGGCGAAAGCGGCUCUCUGGAACGGUACUGACGCUGAGACGCGAAAGCGUGGGGAGCGAACAGG
rnacentral:rRNA from 1 species